rnacentral:lncRNA from 1 species
CGGGAAAAAUUUCCCUCCAAAUUUCCACUAUAUAACCAGUCAAAAAAUUCCUGCCAUCUUUUGGCUUGAGUUGAUAUUUUAGGUUUACUAAAUUUAUCCUUAGGGCAAAGUAACCACAAUUUAUAGGUAAAAUCAUUUUAUACUUCUAUUAUGUACUGUCUUCUGCAGCAUUAUUAGGUGGGCAAGCUCAUCAUAAUUUGAGAAGGUAAAGUUAUAUUUUUUCUGUUAUUGUAACUUUUUUUCCAAAUCAUGUACCCA